rnacentral:rRNA from 1 species
UAGGGAAUCUUCGGCAAUGGACGAAAGUCUGACCGAGCAACGCCGCGUGAGUGAAGAAGGUUUUCGGAUCGUAAAACUCUGUUGUUAGAGAAGAACAAGGACGUUAGUAACUGAACGUCCACUGACGGUAUCUAACCAGAAAGCCACGGCUAACUACGUGCCAGCAGCCGUGGUAAUACGUAGGUGGCAAGCGUUGUCCGGAUUUAUUGGGCGUAAAGCGAGCGCAGGCGGUUUCUUAAGUCUGAUGUGAAAGCCCCCGGCUCAACCGGGGAGGGUCAUUGGAAACUGGGAGGCUUGAGUGCAGAAGAGGAGAGUGGAAUUCCAUGUGUAGCGGUGAAAUGCGUAGAUAUAUGGAGGAACACCAGUGGCGAAGGCGGCUCUCUGGUCUGUAACUGACGCUGAGGCUCGAAAGCGUGGGGAGCAAACAGG